rnacentral:rRNA from 1 species
CCUACGGGUGACAGCAGUGGGGAAUAUUGCACAAUGGGGGAAACCCUGAUGCAGCGACGCCGCGUGAGUGAAGAAGUAUUUCGGUAUGUAAAGCUCUGUCAGCAGGGAAGAAAAUGACGGUACCUGACCAAGAAGCCCCGGCUAACUACGUGCCAGCAGCCGCGGUAAUACGUAGGGGGCAAGCGUUAUCCGGAUUUACUGGGGGUAAAGGGAGCGUAGACGGCAGGGCAAGUCUGGAGUGAAAGGCGGGGGCUCAACCCCCGGACUGCUCUGGAAACUGCCAGGCUGGAGUGCAGGUGAGGUAGGUGGAAUUCCUGGUGUAGCGGUGAAAUGCGUAGAUAUUAGGAGGAACACC